rnacentral:rRNA from 2 species
UUGAAGAGUUUGAUCAUGGCUCAGAUUGAACGCUGGCGGCAGGCCUAACACAUGCAAGUCGAGCGGUAGCACAGGAGAGCUUGCUCUCCGGGUGACGAGCGGCGGACGGGUGAGUAAUGUCUGGGAAACUGCCUGAUGGAGGGGGAUAACUACUGGAAACGGUAGCUAAUACCGCAUAACGUCUACGGACCAAAGUGGGGGACCUUCGGGCCUCACGCCAUCAGAUGUGCCCAGAUGGGAUUAGCUAGUAGGUGGGGUAAUGGCUCACCUAGGCGACGAUCCCUAGCUGGUCUGAGAGGAUGACCAGCCACACUGGAACUGAGACACGGUCCAGACUCCUACGGGAGGCAGCAGUGGGGAAUAUUGCACAAUGGGCGCAAGCCUGAUGCAGCCAUGCCGCGUGUGUGAAGAAGGCCUUAGGGUUGUAAAGCACUUUCAGCGAGGAGGAAGGGCAGUGUGUUAAUAGCACAUUGCAUUGACGUUACUCGCAGAAGAAGCACCGGCUAACUCCGUGCCAGCAGCCGCGGUAAUACGGAGGGUGCAAGCGUUAAUCGGAAUUACUGGGCGUAAAGCGCACGCAGGCGGUUUGUUAAGUCAGAUGUGAAAUCCCCGCGCUUAACGUGGGAACUGCAUUUGAAACUGGCAAGCUAGAGUCUUGUAGAGGGGGGUAGAAUUCCAGGUGUAGCGGUGAAAUGCGUAGAGAUCUGGAGGAAUACCGGUGGCGAAGGCGGCCCCCUGGACAAAGACUGACGCUCAGGUGCGAAAGCGUGGGGAGCAAACAGGAUUAGAUACCCUGGUAGUCCACGCUGUAAACGAUGUCGAUUUGGAGGUUGUGCCCUUGAGGCGUGGCUUCCGGAGCUAACGCGUUAAAUCGACCGCCUGGGGAGUACGGCCGCAAGGUUAAAACUCAAAUGAAUUGACGGGGGCCCGCACAAGCGGUGGAGCAUGUGGUUUAAUUCGAUGCAACGCGAAGAACCUUACCUACUCUUGACAUCCAGAGAAUUCGCUAGAGAUAGCUUAGUGCCUUCGGGAACUCUGAGACAGGUGCUGCAUGGCUGUCGUCAGCUCGUGUUGUGAAAUGUUGGGUUAAGUCCCGCAACGAGCGCAACCCUUAUCCUUUGUUGCCAGCGAUUCGGUCGGGAACUCAAAGGAGACUGCCGGUGAUAAACCGGAGGAAGGUGGGGAUGACGUCAAGUCAUCAUGGCCCUUACGAGUAGGGCUACACACGUGCUACAAUGGCGUAUACAAAGAGAAGCGAACUCGCGAGAGCAAGCGGACCUCAUAAAGUACGUCGUAGUCCGGAUUGGAGUCUGCAACUCGACUCCAUGAAGUCGGAAUCGCUAGUAAUCGUAGAUCAGAAUGCUACGGUGAAUACGUUCCCGGGCCUUGUACACACCGCCCGUCACACCAUGGGAGUGGGUUGCAAAAGAAGUAGGUAGCUUAACCUUCGGGAGGGCGCUUACCACUUUGUGAUUCAUGACUGGGGUGAAGUCGUAACAAGGUAACCGUAGGGGAACCUGCGGUUGGAUCACCUCCUU